AGUGAACGCUGGCGGUAGGCCUAACACAUGCAAGUCGAACGGCAGCACAGUAAGAGCUUGCUCUUACGGGUGGCGAGUGGCGGACGGGUGAGGACUACAUCGGAAUCUACUUUUUCGUGGGGGAUAACGUAGGGAAACUUACGCUAAUACCGCAUCCGACCUACGGGUGAAAGCAGGGGAUCUUCGUACCUUGCGCGAUUGAAUGAGCCGAUGUCGGAUUAGCUAGUUGGCGGGGUAAAGGCCCACCAAGGCGACGAUCCGUAGCUGGUCUGAGAGGAUGAUCAGCCACACUGGAACUGAGACACGGUCCAGACUCCUACGGGAGGCAGCAGUGGGGAAUAUUGGACAAUGGGCGCAAGCCUGAUCCAGCCAUACCGCGUGGGUGAAGAAGGCCUUCGGGUUGUAAAGCCCUUUUGUUGGGAAAGAAAAGCAGCAGGUUAAUACCCCGCUGUUCUGACGGUACCCAAAGAAUAAGCACCGGCUAACUUCGUG
rnacentral:rRNA from 1 species